rnacentral:rRNA from 1 species
GUUAAGCGACUAAGCGUACACGGUGGAUGCCCUGGCAGUCAGAGGCGAUGAAGGACGUGCUAAUCUGCGAUAAGCGUCGGUAAGGUGAUAUGAACCGUUAUAACCGGCGAUUUCCGAAUGGGGAAACCCAGUGUGUUUCGACACACUAUCAUUAACUGAAUCCAUAGGUUAAUGAGGCGAACCGGGGGAACUGAAACAUCUAAGUACCCCGAGGAAAAGAAAUCAACCGAGAUUCCCCCAGUAGCGGCGAGCGAACGGGGAGCAGCCCAGAGCCUGAAUCAGUGUGUGUGUUAGUGGAAGCGUCUGGAAAGGCGCGCGAUACAGGGUGACAGCCCCGUACACAAAAAUGCACAUGCUGUGAGCUCGAUGAGUAGGGCGGGACACGUGGUAUCCUGUCUGAAUAUGGGGGGACCAUCCUCCAAGGCUAAAUACUCCUGACUGACCGAUAGUGAACCAGUACCGUGAGGGAAAGGCGAAAAGAACCCCGGCGAGGGGAGUGAAAAAGAACCUGAAACCGUGUACGUACAAGCAGUGGGAGCACGCUUAGGCGUGUGACUGCGUACCUUUUGUAUAAUGGGUCAGCGACUUAUAUUCUGUAGCAAGGUUAACCGAAUAGGGGAGCCGAAGGGAAACCGAGUCUUAACUGGGCGUUAAGUUGCAGGGUAUAGACCCGAAACCCGGUGAUCUAGCCAUGGGCAGGUUGAAGGUUGGGUAACACUAACUGGAGGACCGAACCGACUAAUGUUGAAAAAUUAGCGGAUGACUUGUGGCUGGGGGUGAAAGGCCAAUCAAACCGGGAGAUAGCUGGUUCUCCCCGAAAGCUAUUUAGGUAGCGCCUCGUGAAUUCAUCUCCGGGGGUAGAGCACUGUUUCGGCAAGGGGGUCAUCCCGACUUACCAACCCGAUGCAAACUGCGAAUACCGGAGAAUGUUAUCACGGGAGACACACGGCGGGUGCUAACGUCCGUCGUGAAGAGGGAAACAACCCAGACCGCCAGCUAAGGUCCCAAAGUCAUGGUUAAGUGGGAAAC